rnacentral:rRNA from 1 species
AUUGAACGCUGGCGGCAGGCCUAACACAUGCAAGUCGAGCGGAUGAAGGGAGCUUUCUCCUGGAUUCAGCGGCGGACGGGUGAGUAAUUCCUAGGAAUCUGCCUGGUAGUGGGGGAUAACGUCCGGAAACGGGCGCUAAUACCGCAUACGUCCUGAGGUAGAAAGUGGGGGAUCUUCGGACCUCACGCUAUCAGAUGAGCCUAGGUCGGAUUAGCUAGUUGGUGGGGUAAAGGCCUACCAAGGCGACGAUCCGUAACUGGUCUGAGAGGAUGAUCAGUCACACUGGAACUGAGACACGGUCCAGACUCCUACGGGAGGCAGCAGUGGGGAAUAUUGGGCAAUGGGCGAAAGCCUGAUCCAGCCAUGCCGCGUGUGUGAAGAAGGUCUUCGGAUUGUAAAGCACUUUAAGUUGGGAGGAAGGGCAGUAAGUUAAUACCUUGCUGUUUUGACGUUACCAACAGAAUAAGCACCGGCUAACUUCGUG